rnacentral:rRNA from 1 species
GCGAUACCGCGAAUGGCUCAAUAUAUCAGUUUUGGUUCCUUAGAUCUUACUCAGUUACUUGGAUAACUGUGGUAAUUCUAGAGCUAAUACAUGCAAUCAGAACUCUGACCAGUGAUGGGAUGAGUGCUUUUAUUAGAUCAAAACCAAUCGACGGAGGGCCUCGCGUUCGAAGUCGUUAAUUUUGAUGAAUCUGGAUAACUUUUGCCGAUCGCAUGGUCAAGUACCGGCGACGCAUCUUUCAAAUGUCUGCCUUAUCAACUUUCGAUGGUAGUUUCUGCGACUACCAUGGUUGUCACGGGUAACGGGGAAUCAGGGUUCGAUUCCGGAGAGGGAGCCUGAGAAACGGCUACCACAUCCAAGGAAGGCAGCAGGCGCGCAAAUUACCCACUCCGGCACGGGGAGGUAGUGACGAAAAAUAACGAUACGGGACUCUUACGAGGCCUCGUAAUCGGAAUGAGUACGCUUUAAAUAUUUUAACGAGGAACAAUUGGAGGGCAAGUCUGGUGCCAGCAGCCGCGGUAAUUCCAGCUCCAAUAGCGUAUACUAAAAUUGUUGCGGUUAAAAAGCUCGUAGUUGCAUUUGUGCGCCGCGCUGUCGGUGCACCGCAUCCGCGUGAUACUGACACGUUUGCGGAGCAUAUCGUCGGUGAGCCGGCGUCACACGCCGGUUCAAUAUCAAAAUCCUAUCGCGGUGCUCUUUGUCGAGUGUCGAGGUGGGCCGACAAUUUACUUGACAAUUAGAGUGCUCAAGCGGCUCAAAGCGGGCUCAAAAUGCUGCUUGAAUAUUUCGUGCAUGGAAUAAUAGAUAUGAUCUCGGUUCUAUUUUGUUGGUUUUCAGAACUCCGAGGUAAUGAUUAAUAGGGACAACUGGGGGCAUUCGUAUUGUGACGUUAGAGGUGAAAUUCUUGGAUCGUCGCAAGACGAACAUCAGCGAAAGCAUUUGCCAAAGGUGUUUUCAUCAAUCAAGAACGAAAGUUAGAGGUUCGAAGGCGAUUAGAUACCGCCCUAGUUCUAACCGUAAAUAUGUCAUCUAGCGAUCCGCCGACGUUACUACAAUGGCUCGGCGGGCAGCUU